AAGAACGUAUAUUUACAUAGAACAAUGCAUACUUACCUGAAUAUCGAUAAUUUCUGUGAUGAUUUUAUUUUAAUGAGACAAGUAUAUGUAUGAUAAUGUGUGAUAAAUAUACCAGUCUGAUCUUUUUAUUUACAUUUGAUUUUUGUGUAUUCAAUUAGCGAAAUAUGUGAUGAAUUUUUAUUUGAUUGUAGGAUCGUCUACAUCCCAGAAAACAUUCUGCACAGGAUUGAGAUUAGCCAUGCGUAAUCGGGUCUGUCUCUUACAUACAGGCCAAUGUCUACAUGUUGAUCAGAAGUAGAGAAGGAUCAGCUUGUAUCCUAGAAUUCUGCAUAGGAUUGUGGUAAUCUAUUUGAUAGCUAAUAAAAAUUGAAAAACCUUCUAGUACAACUCCCAAUCAUAAACAAGUACCCCUUGACAUAACUUCUUCCAUCCAAAUUUGUGUAUGCACAAAUGUCAGUUUUCCAUUCAAUGAUCUACUGGUACACAUGAAUGCACCAUCUUCAGCAAGUCGUAUCUGCACUUUGUACAUCAAAAUUAAUUUGUAAUCUACAUAUAUCCUUUUAAAUAUAUGUUAUAUAAUUUUAAUAAAUUCUGGUGAGAAU